rnacentral:tRNA from 1 species
GGUGCAUCGUAUAAAGGUUAUUACGGGGAGCUGUUAACUCCUUUAUCUUGGUUCGAGUCCAAGUGCGCCA